CCUACGGGAGGCAGCAGUGAGGAAUAUUGGUCAAUGGACGAGAGUCUGAACCAGCCAAGUAGCGUGAAGGAUGACUGUCCUAUGGGUUGUAAACUUCUUUUAUAAAGGAAUAAAACGAGGCACGUGUGCCUUUUUGCAUGUACUUUAUGAAUAAGGAUCGGCUAACUCCGUGCCAGCAGCCGCGGUAAUACGGAGGAUCCGAGCGUUAUCCGGAUUUAUUGGGUUUAAAGGGAGCGUAGAUGGGGUGUUAAGUCAGUUGUGAAAGUUUGCGGCUCAACCGUAAAAUUGCAAUUGAUACUGGCAGUCUUGAGUACAGUUGAGGUAGGCGGAAUUCGUGGUGUAGCGGUGAAAUGCUUAGAUAUCACGAAGAACCCCGAUUGCGAAGGCAGCAUACUAAACUGUGACUGACAUUGAUGCACGAAAGUGUGGGUAUCAAACAGGAUUAGAUACCCUUGUAGUC
rnacentral:rRNA from 1 species